rnacentral:sRNA from 1 species
GAUCCUUGUGACGACGUGUGCCACGCCU